UUUGAGUUGCUAUGGCAGAAAAAAAGAAAAAAGAAAAAAAAAAGGUCCUAACUGAUAGCCAUGCUGUUGCUGCUGCUACUGUGGCUCUCCUCUCUUUUCAAGAGCUGAUACUUAGAUCAUAGUUUAUUGGGGGACCUUCACUUGACAGACCUGCCAGAGCAGACACUUCAUUAGUAUGUCUUUGAUAACUUAGAGGCACCUCCAUGACAUGAUCAUGCAUUGAGACAAGACUUUAUUGUAGAGAGAUAACACCUUCGAUGUAGGUAGAGCUACCUGCCCCUUCUACUGUGUCUCUGGAAUACCUACUCCACAGAAUGGCGAGGUGAGGGCAGGGGCAAGUUAUUCUGGCAGAGACUUCAGCAGCAGCAAGGAAAUUGCUGAGUGGAUGUCAGAUUACGAGCCCAUGGACCAAGCAAUGCUGCACAGCCAAAGCAUCUGGGCUCAUAGAUGCUGACAUCCUUCAGGUAAUCCAUACACACUACAAAGUAAUCCUGGAGCUCAGCAGCUGUGUUGUUCUGGAGAGGAAAAAUCGCAAUGUCAGACAAAUCUUAGUUCACAUCUGAGUGCGGGUUCACUAGACAUGGAUCACUACUCCACCUAAACUGAAUGACCUAUUUGGGUCAGGUAGCACAGAAAUAGAGAAGUGCAAAGAUGGAAAGAAUCUCAGGGCCACUCAAGUCUGAACCAUCCUUGAAGUCUCCUCUGCAGUUUAGUUGGAUAGCAAGCUGUGGACACCACUGAGGAGCUGGCUCCUCCAUAAAUUGACUUCUCUCCAGUCUUUCUCUUCCUUCAAGAACCUGAAAAUCAUCUGAAGCUCCCUGUCUUCUUUCUCAAUGCUAGAAGCCAGAAGACCAGGAUCUCUUUUCUUCUAAGAUCUUGCCAGUUUCAGUACCUUUUGCACGCAUGAGUAUUGGGUAAUAAAUUUCCAUCAUUGAA